UACCUCGUGGUCCAGUGGUACGACACUCUUCUGCCGUGCGAGAAACUCGGGUUCGAAUCCCGACGAGAUUG